GAUGAACGCUGGCUACAGGCUUAACACAUGCAAGUCGAGGGGAAACGACGGGGAAGCUUGCUUCCCCGGGCGUCGACCGGCGCACGGGUGAGUAACGUGUAUCCCACUUGCCUCUGACUGAGGGAUAACCCGUCGAAAGUCGGCCUAAUACCUCAUGGUAUCGUCUGCGGGCAUCCAACGACGAUUAAAGAUUUCAUCGGUCAGUGAUGGGGUUGCGUCUGAUUAGCUUGUUGGCGGGGUAACGGCCCACCAAGGCUACGCUUAGUAGGGGUUCUGAGAGGAGGGGGCCCCACAUUGGAACUGGGACACGGGCCAAACUCCUACGGGAGGCAGCAGUGAGGAAUAGUGGUGAAUGGACGAGAGCCUGAACCAGCCAAGUAGCGUGCAGGAAGACGGCCCUAUGGGUUGUAAACUGCUUUUAUGCGGGGAUAAAGUGAGGGACGUGUCCCUCAUUGCAGGUACCGAAUGAAUAAGGACCGGCUAAUUCCGUG
rnacentral:rRNA from 1 species